rnacentral:rRNA from 1 species
GCAAGUCGAACGCGAAAGUAGACUUCGGUCUGCGAGUAGAGUGGCGCACGGGUGAGUAACACGUGGAUAACCUGCCCUAUGAUCUGGGAUAACAUUUCGAAAGGGAUGCUAAUACCGGAUAAGCCCACGCUCUCUUCGGAGGAAGUGGGAAAAGAUUUAUCGUCAUAGGAUGGGUCCGCGGUCCAUUAGCUAGUUGGUGGGGUAAUGGCCUACCAAGGCUGCGAUGGAUAGCUGGUCUGAGAGGAUGAUC